AUUGAACGCUGGCGGCAGGCCUAACACAUGCAAGUCGAGCGGAGGAAGGGAGCUUGCUCCUGGAUUCAGCGGCGGACGGGUGUGGAAGGCCUAGGAAUCGGCCUGGGAGUGUGGGAUGACGUCCGGAAACGGGUGGUAAUACCGCAUGCGGCCUGAGGGAGAAAGAGGGGGAUAGUCGGACCGCUCGCUAGGAGAUGAGCCUAGGUCGGAUUAGCUAGUUGGUGGGGUAAAGGCCUACCAAGGCGACGAUCCGUAACUGGUCUGAGAGGAUGAGCAGUCACACUGGAACUGAGACACGGUCCAGACUCCUACGGGAGGCAGCAGUGGCGAAUAUUGGACAAUGGGCGGAAGCCUGAUCCAGUCAUGCCGCGUGUGUGAAGAAGGUCUUCGGAUUGUAAAGCACUUUAAGUUGGGAGGAAGGGCAGUAAGUUAAUACCUUGCUGUAUUGACGUUACCAACAGAAUAAGCACCGGCUAACUUCGUG
rnacentral:rRNA from 1 species